UUGGGUCACAGACUCACUGAAAUCAAGUUCUGUUCUAGCUUUAAAAUUCUCUUGGUCUCUGAUUUUGAUCCUGUCCUCUUUGGUAUUUCCACCAGAGCCUUAAAGACAUGAAAGGCAUUCUGAUCAAAUUUGUGGUUAUUACAAAUCCAAGAGGAAUAACUAAUUGGUUGGAUGACCAUUUCAGAGUGAAAAUUAGAAAGAUGAAAUCUAACAGAGAUAAAAGUAAAUGUUUACAUCGGGUUUAGCAGAGUGAGGGAAAUUUGCCUUGAUGGAAUAAUUCGGUUCCAAUAUAUUUCAUUAUAUUCUGCCCACAGGCAAUGUAUGGUAGCUAGCCAUGGGUAGCAUCUGUUAAAGAUACACCAAAAGACAAUUGUAUUCGGAAGGAGGAGGAGCAGGAUUAGGAGGUAGCAGGUAUAACCUCUCAUACAAAGAACAUUUAAUGCAAUAAUGCAUGCUUAGCUCAGAAAAGAGAAGCUCAGGGAAACUGAAUAGUUGCUCUGGUCCAUAUAUCUCCAUAUGGACGAAAGAUCGGAAAUCCAACAAGUGGGUGGAAGCUUCAGAGGCUAAGCCUAGCAUUCUGAAUUGUCCAACAGAGCAAUCCACAACUUCAAAGAUUAGUCACUCUAAGCAAACAAACAGAGUCUGAAUUUUAAUGGGUGUCGUUCUGUUUGAAGAAAGGCUGGAUUAUAUCACUUACCUACAACAUAUUUUAGUGUUAGAAAUAGCCUUUGAACUGGAGUCUUCUGAUUACCCAUCCCUCAUUGUCUUUAUGACCCAACAUUGCUCCAUCACUCUGUGCCUCCUUAAACUUAUUUCUAGAAUGCAGCAUUCAUAAAAACUAUACCAUCCAUUGUAGUUUGCACUGUGAUUGUCAGAAUCAAACUUCAUGAGAUGAACAUGUGCUCCUAUGCUUUAGAGGGAUAUACAAAAUUAGGAUUUCUUUUAUAGCAAUUUAUUCAUAUUUUUAAAUCACAUUUCAGUUAAGUCGGUGAUUUUUUCUAUUGUUGAUUAUAGGUGGAAAAUGAAUUGAUUUACUAUGUUCAUGAUGAUAGUGAGGAGCUUCUUGACAAUUUCACCAUCUUUGCAAAUAGCUCAGAUCUUGGAAAACAGAGUUUGCCCCAAACUCUUUUUGUGGUUGUUGAAUCAGUGAACGAUGAGGCUCCAGUAAUAACAGUCAGUAAAAUCCUUCAGAAAAUGUAUGCCAACCCCUUCUGUAGACCAGCUCUAUGCAAUAGGACUUCCUGUGAUGAUGAAAAUGUUUUGUAUAUGUGCUGUUCAACACAGUAGCCACUACUCACAUGUGGCUAUGAAGUAUUUGAAAUGUGGCCAGUAUGAUUAAGUCCUUCUGUUGAAAAACAGAGGAUCAAGUUGAACCCUAACAGAUGACGAAACAAGCCCAGGGAGCAGUGGGGAGCCGAAGGUACUGUAACUGGUUGGUUGUAGGGUCUCCUGACUUCUACUCCAAGAAUCCUUUGCUCCUACUUUCUUCUACCCUGUUUUUUUUGGGGGGUUGGGGGGCGGUGGAGCGGGGAGUGGUUAAAUAAACCAUUUAACUAACAAAACAAUGGAUAGGAUUGGCGCUAGUCUAAAACAGUAGAUCUUAAAUGUUAUUUUCUAAGUGGUACAGAAUCUAGACCACCGAGCUACAAAAUGGUGCAGCAGAGCCUCCAUGUCUGGGUGGUGGUUGACACAAAGAGAAAAAGGGCCUUUGGUGAGAGUGGUGGCCAGGCAGGUGACAGCGAGGGACAGGAAGAAAGCAAGGAGAACAGCCGGCAAUAAGGAGCAGUAAGCCUUUGACCUUAAUUUAUAAAAUACCCCUGUGCCAAUUAACUGAUUGCGCAGGCACACCCGGGAGCCCACCUGGGGCUAAG